CUCAGCACCACUCUCCUCUCUCCUCAGGCCUUCACCUCAAACGGCUCUCAGCGCCCUACAAGACACUGACCAAACUAAACCACCGCACACUCCUGGCCACUCCUUUCCAGCACAGUGCCGGACAAUUGUCCAUGCCCUACAGGACAGGUAAGAUCGCCCCAACCCACACCCACUGCUGUCUAACAGCAAGCAGGAAGGUGACACAAUUGGGCCAGGACAGCAGUGACCGCUGCAUCAGGAUGACAGAACACGGACAGCCUCGCCAGAAACACACAGCGAUGAGACCAGACCACAGCACAAUCCUGGCCUCACUGCCCUCGACCACUCAGCUGGAAGGAAGGGCUGCCAAUGCCCUACAGGACAGGUAAGAUAGUACCAACCCACACCCCACCACGGUCCACAGCAAGCAGGAAGGUGACACGAUCCAGCCAGGAUGGGAGUGACCGCUCCAUCAGGAUGACGGG